AGAUAUCUGGGCAUGUGGUAUCAUGCUGUUUGCCAUGGUAUUUGAUGAGAUGCUAUUCGAAACUGCGCAUCACAUCGCGGACAAAAAUCAGCGUUUCUCUUGGCUCUAUCAAGAUCCUGUUAACGGUUUG
rnacentral:ribozyme from 1 species